UACAGAGGUCUCAAGCGUUGUUCGGAUUCAUUGGGCGUAAAGGGUGCGUAGGUGGCGCUGUAAGUCGGGUGUGAAAUUUCGGAGCUUAACUCCGAAACUGCAUUCGAUACUGCGGUGCUUGAGGACUGGAGAGGAGACUGGAAUUCAUGGUGUAGCAGUGAAAUGCGUAGAGAUCAUGAGGAAGACCAGUGGCGAAGGCGGGUCUCUGGGCAUUAACUGACGCUGAGGAGCGAAAGCAUGGGGAGCGAACAGG
rnacentral:rRNA from 1 species